UACGGAGGGUGCAAGCGUUAUCCGGAUUUAUUGGGUUUAAAGGGUCCGUAGGCGGGGAUCUAAGUCAGUGGUGAAAGCCUGCAGCUCAACUGUAGAAUUGCCAUUGAUACUGGAUCUCUUGAGUACAUUUGAAGUUAGCGGAAUGUGUCAUGUAGCGGUGAAAUGCUUAGAUAUGACACAGAACACCGAUUGCGAAGGCAGCUAACUAAGAUGUUACUGACGCUGAGGGACGAAAGCGUGGGGAUCAAACAGG
rnacentral:rRNA from 1 species